ensembl:lncRNA
UUAACAGCCAAAGCCGCUCCGGUCCGGCUCGUCCCUGCCUCCUCCGCCGGGAUAAGAACAUAAGGGGAGACACUAACUCUUUCAGGGCGAGGCGCUGCAAAGUGAAAGAGUGCGAGGAUGGCGGUGUUCAUUUUGUCGGUCUGUAACUUGAGUGUGUGGUGAUGGCCUUAGCUGCGCAGCUGUGCCGGUAAUCCUGCCGCUGCACAAAGAGACGCCUUGACAACCGACCUACCUUCCUCUCUCUCUCACAAAAAAAGGCAUAGAGAGGAAAAAAAGAAAAUACGGAGGCAUAAACAAAUGCGACCAUGUACAGUGUGGAGGACCUCCUCAUCUCUCAUGGAUACAAGCUGCCCAUGCAUACCACCUCCUCCUCCAUCCCUACCCCGGCCCCCGCCUCCUUGUCCCGCCAGCAGCCUUCGUCCUCACCGCCGUCCUACAGCCGACACCAUGAAUUCCUGGAGAACAGGCCCAGGAUGUCUUAUGGGAACGGGAGCGAAUCCAGGCAGCCACAAGGGUACGCCAGCGGCUGUCCCAACAACAACAACGGACCCAGGGACAGGGGCCAGUCCAGGCGGGAGGGCGAGAACCGGUGCCAAAUGGACACCCACUCCUUGGGAGAGUCGCUGACCUCAGACAGCGGGUUCUGUGAUGGCACCAGAGGUCCUCAGUCGCAAGCCAAGGAUGUGUCCUACUGGAGGAGGAGAGGCCAGGACUUCACUGUGCUGCUGGGCUACGCUGACCAUAAGACCUAUG